UACAGAGGUCCCAAGCGUUGUUCGGAUUCACUGGGCGUAAAGGGUGCGUAGGUGGCCAGGUAAGUUUGGUGUGAAAGCUCGGAGCUUAACUCCGAAAAGUCAUUGAAUACUAUCUGGCUGGAGGGUCGGAGGGGAGACUGGAAUUCUCGGUGUAGCAGUGAAAUGCGUAGAUAUCGAGAGGAACACCAGUGGCGAAGGCGAGUCUCUGGACGACUCCUGACACUGAGGCACGAAAGCUAGGGGAGCAAACAGG
rnacentral:rRNA from 2 species